ACGCUCCGGCUUCUCUGCAGCUCGAAGAACCUUUCGCCUUUUGACUUUGAAUUUCCGUGGAGAGGAGCAUAUACGAGUUUAGAUCCAAUUUUGGGACACCCCUUCCCCUCAGGGAGG